rnacentral:rRNA from 1 species
GACGAACGCUAGCGGCGUGCUUAACACAUGCAAGUCGAGCGGUAAGGCCCUUCGGGGUACACGAGCGGCGAACGGGUGAGUAACACGUGGGUGAUCUGCCUUGCACUUCGGGAUAAGCCUGGGAAACCGGGUCUAAUACCGGGUACGACCUGAGGUUGCAUGACUUCAGGUGGAAAGAUUUAUCGGUGCGAGAUGGGCCCGCGGCCUAUCAGCUUGUUGGUGAGGUAACGGCUCACCAAGGCGACGACGGGUAGCCGACCUGAGAGGGUGACCGGCCACACUGGGACUGAGACACGGCCCAGACUCCUACGGGAGGCAGCAGUGGGGAAUAUUGCACAAUGGGCGAAAGCCUGAUGCAGCGACGCCGCGUGCGGGAUGACGGCCUUCGGGUUGCAAACCGCUUUUGACAGGGACGAAGCGCAGUGACUGUACCUGUAGAAUAAGGACCGGCCAACUACGUG